rnacentral:rRNA from 1 species
GACGAACGCUGGCGGCGUGCCUAAUACAUGCAAGUUGAGCGCUGAAGGUUGGUACUUGUACCAACUGGAUGAGCAGCGAACGGGUGAGUAACGCGUGGGGAAUCUGCCUUUGAGCGGGGGACAACAUUUGGAAACGAAUGCUAAUACCGCAUAAAAACUUUAAACACAAGUUUUAAGUUUGAAAGAUGCAAUUGCAUCACUCAAAGAUGAUCCCGCGUUGUAUUAGCUAGUUGGUGAGGUAAAGGCUCACCAAGGCGAUGAUACAUAGCCGACCUGAGAGGGUGAUCGGCCACAUUGGGACUGAGACACGGCCCAAACUCCUACGGGAGGCAGCAGUAGGGAAUCUUCGGCAAUGGACGAAAGUCUGACCGAGCAACGCCGCGUGAGUGAAGAAGGUGUUCGGAUCGUAAAACUCUGUUGGUAGAGAAGAACGUUGGUGAGAGUGGAAAGCUCAUCAAGUGACGGUAACUACCCAGAAAGGGACGGCUAACUACGU